GGAUAUAGCUCAGUGGUAGAGCGCGUGCUUAGCACACACAAGGUCCUGUGUUCAAUCCCCAGUGCCUCCA
rnacentral:tRNA from 1 species